AAAAAAAAAAAUAGAAGAAGAAAUUACCAACUGAACCGGCCAAUCCGACACUACACAAAAGUGACAACAAACAAAGACACUCGAAUUCACCUGUUUGGAUUGGGAGUGAUGGAAAAUAACAAAAAGAUCGAUGAUCGGGCAACAAUAAUGGUGACAAACGAUGACGGAAUAGAGGCUCCUGGACUCCAGGCACUUGUUCGUGUUCUCGUUUCCGCUCCUCAUCGUUAUCGUGUUUGGGUCUGCGCCCCUGAUUCGGAAAUGUCAGCAGUCAGUCAUUCCAUUACUUGGCGACAUGCUCUCUCCGCUAAACCUGUCCAAAUCCAUGGCGCGACCGCCUUUGCUGUUUCUGGAACUCCAGCUGACUGUACUUCAUUGGGAAUCUCAAAGGAACUAUUUCCUUCUGUUCCUGAUCUGGUAUUAAGUGGCAUAAACAUGGGCAGCAAUUGUGGUUAUCACAUCGUCUACUCGGGAACAGUGGCAGGUGCUCGAGAGGCCUUUUUCUAUGGUGUUCCAUCCAUUUCAAUUUCAUAUGAUUGGGUUAAAGCUACUAGCAGUAUCGACGAUUUCACACUAGCUGCUGAAGCUUGCUUGCCCAUAAUAAAUGCAGUUGUUUCUGAGAUCAGGAAUAAAACGUAUCCUCAGAAAUGUUUUCUGAAUGUGGAUUUGCCCACAAAUAUUCAGAAUCAUAAGGGUUAUAAGCUGACUAAGCAAGGAAACAGUGUUAUUAAAAUGGGAUGGAAGCAAGUUUCUUCGGAUGCCGAAGGCGGACAUAUGUCAUCAGCAAUGACAAACGAGCCAAGUUCAGUAGCAUCAAACCCUGAUGCUAAAGCUGUUUCACAAGAACAGCUUUUAUUUAAGAGAGAGGUCAGAGGAAGCAAGGUUGAAGACGGUGAAACUGACCACUCUUCCCUUAGAGAAGGAUAUAUAACUGUCACCCCGCUUGGGGCCUUAACUCAUGCGGAUAUUGAUUGCCAGUCAUUUUUCAAGCAAUGGUUGCCAACAGUGGCUGAGCGUUCUUCUUCUUCAGCUUUGUGAUUACUUCUCUACAGAUUGUUCCUUUCUUGCCAUAUAAAGUAAAAGUUAGCCGCAAAAGAUAGUUGUCUUUCAACCUCAACCACAGCUCUUCUUUGGCAUCUUAGCUCAAGUCUAUCCCUGUGUUUCUAGCGCAUAUUCCAUGACCAUUCAUAUUAAGAAAGUGUGGCUCGGUACAUAGUGGCUGUAAACCUUCGCCAUGCAAUUACAUCACUUCAGAGUUCAAACCAGCCCCAAGUCCUCUAAAGUUUCCUGUACGAGAAACCCCUUGAGUCACUUGGUGAUGUCUUCCAUAGGAUAUUGUCUUUUGUGCCAUGCUAAAUCAGGACGCCUCGGAUAGAAUUGAGAAUCUGGGUGUUGGGUUUACCAUGCACAUGGCCACUUGAUCAGGUCUCAGUUUUCCAACAAUUUGUCUUGUGGGUGGAUCUCGUGAAUAGGAACCUCUGGAAGCCACCGCUAAACAACUUGACCCGAAAUAGUUAGGUACUUACGUUAGGCGAUCUGGGUAACAAUUCGAAAUGGUUAACCACCACAAACUCUGCCUUUUCCGUUUACAAAUUAAAAAUUAA